UGUCCCAUGGUGUAAUGGUAGCACAUCAGAUUUUGGUUCUGCUUGCCCAAGUUCGAAUCUUGGUGGGACAA
rnacentral:tRNA from 1 species